UACGGAGGGUGCAAGCGUUGUCCGGAUUUAUUGGGCUUAAAGGGUGCGUAGGCGGCCCGUUAAGUCAGUGGUGAAAGCCUCCAGCUCAACUGGAGAACUGCCAUUGAUACUGACAGGCUUGAGUACAGACGAGGUUGGCGGAAUUGAUUGUGUAGCGGUGAAAUGCGUAGAUACAAUCAAGAACUCCGAUUGCGUAGGCAGCUAACUGGGCUGUGACUGACGCUGAGGCACGAAAGCGUGGGGAGCGAACAGG
rnacentral:rRNA from 1 species